GGGGGAAUAUUGCACAAUGGGGGAAACCCUGAUGCAGCGACGCCGCGUGAGCGAAGAAGUAUUUCGGUAUGUAAAGCUCUAUCAGCGGGGAAGAAAAAAUGACGGUACCUGACUAAGAAGCCCCGGCUAACUACGUGCCAGCAGCCGCGGUAAUACGUAGGGGGCAAGCGUUAUCCGGAUUUACUGGGUGUAAAGGGAGCGCAGGCGGUGCGGCAAGUCUGAUGUGAAAGCCCGGGGCUCAACCCCGGGACUGCAUUGGAAACUGUCGUACUUGAGUAUCGGAGAGGUAAGUGGAAUUCCUAGUGUAGCGGUGAAAUGCGUAGAUAUUAGGAGGAACACCAGUGGCGAAGGCGGCUUACUGGACGAUAACUGACGCUGAGGCUCGAAAGCGUGGGGAGCAAACAGGAUUAGAUACCCUGGUAGU
rnacentral:rRNA from 1 species